GACAGUAGACAGUGACAGGAUGUGAGUACAGCCCGACCCUCAGUGGACAGGCCAUCUGAGGGUCGUUGGCAUGCACCCCUGCACCCCAGGACCUGGGGCCAGGAGGAGCAUCCACACCGAGGGUCAGGAAGCUGACCCCGAAUCCCACCCUGGUCAGACCACAGGGACACAGAGUGACAGUGGCAGGUGGCCCCAGCUCAUUGGAAUCCCCGCUUGCAACACUGGGGACAGAGCCUGGGGCCAGCAGGGUAGAGAGGGCCACGUCUAGGAAGGCUCCUCAGGGACAGGCUCCCUGGACUCAAAGUGGGGACACCACCUCCGCCUGCAGGCCCCGGGCACCUGGGGAGACUGAGAGGAACACAGCUGCCAUGCGCGCCCCCGGGUCUGUGCCCCCCCACUUGGCCUGAGACCCCUGAGCCUCCACCAGGGCCAUGGACCUGUCCACAGGUGUCUGGAGCCCCUCAGGCCUGGGCACACUGGCCCCUCUGUGAGCUGCCUGCUGCCCUCCCGUCCUGACAGACGCUGAACCCCCGACCACAGCUUUUCUCCAGCACCUUCACAUGGGGGUGCCCCCCUCGAGUCUGACUGGUCACAGGAGAUCUGAG
rnacentral:lncRNA from 1 species